CAUUUCGCAUGGGCGAGCCUGACGGAGCACGCCGCGUGAGUGAUGAAGGUCUUCGGAUCGUAAAACUCUGUUAUUAGGGAAGAACAUAUGUGUAAGUAACUGUGCACAUCUUGACGGUACCUAAUCAGAAAGCCACGGCUAACUCCGUGCCAGCAGCCGCGGUAAU
rnacentral:rRNA from 1 species